CUGUCAUUCUGGAGUUGAUUUUUAAUUAUCAUGGCUGGAGAGAGGCUAAGGAGAGACAACAAAGACUAAGAAAAUGUCUUUCCUCAGAGAAUGAGUGACUUAAUUGUCAAGGUGAAACAAGAAGAAAAUACCAAACCCCAGUAAUCUAUGCAGGUCCGGACCAUUCUCAUCCCUUACAGACCUUAACUGGAGCCAGUCUGAAAAGUAAGAAUAUCAGAUGUGAACCAAUUAGAAGAGGAGAGAUUUUCAUGAAGCUUUUAACAAGGGAGUCAUCAAAUAAACUGUAAGCUGAUUUUGCUUCAUUUAAGUUGUAUAGGAAUUGGAAAAGGGCUCGCUGAGGUUCUGGGAGAGGGACUAACAUAGAGUAUAAGAAUUUGUUAUGAACAGAAA